GACGAACGCUGGCGGCGUGCUUAACACAUGCAAGUCGAACGAAAAGGCCCCUUUGUGGGUACUCGGGUGUCGAACGGGUGAGUAACACGUGAGUAACCGUCCCUUGACUUCGGGAUAACGUCAGGAAACUGGGGCUAAUACCGGAUAGGAAUCCUUGCUGCAUGGGGGUGGUUGGAAAGCUUCGGCGGGUUUGGGUGGACUGGCGGCUUAUCAGCUUGCUGGGGGAGUAGUGUCUUACCAAGGCGUUGUCGGGUAGCCGCACUGAGUAGGCGACCGGCCACCUUGGGACUGAGGUAAGGCCGCGACUCCUACGGGAGGCAGCUGGGGGGAAUAUUGAAGAAUGGGCGGAAGCCUGAUGCAGAAAGGCCGCGUGCGGGAUGACGGCCUUAGGGUUGUAAAACGAUUUCAGAAGGAGCGAAGCUUGUGGUGACGGUACCUGAAGAAGAAGCCACGGCUAACUACGUG
rnacentral:rRNA from 1 species